rnacentral:rRNA from 1 species
CUGGGGAAUCCCAUGGCCUUCACUGGCUGUGGGUGGAACCAGGACUUUUACUGUGAAAAAAUUAGAGUGUUCAAAGCAGGCCUUUGCUCGAAUACAUUAGCAUGGAAUAAUAGAAUAGGACGUGCGGUUCUAUUUUUGUUGGUUUCUAGGACCGCCGUAAUGAUUAAUAGGGAUAGUCGGGGGCGUCAGUAUUCAGCUGUCAGAGGUGAAAUUCUUGGAUUUGCUGAAGACUAACUACUGCGAAAGCAUUCGCCAAGGAUGUUUUCAUUAAUCAGGGAACGAAAGUUAGGGGAUCGAAGACGAUCAGAUACCGUCGUAGUCUUAACCAUAAACUAUGCCGACUAGGGAUCGGGCGGCGUUUCUAUGAUGACCCGCUCGGCACCUUACG